AUUUUUGGCUUGUCCUCAAGAUAUCCAUCAUCUUUCCGUAUUUUUUCUCCUACAUAACAUAUCUUGGUGAAUGACAGCAAAAUUACAUUUAAUAGUUAACAAGGCAGACAUUGUUGAGAGCAAUAAAUCUGGAAACAGAAAUUGAGAAUCUUGAAAUAUUCAGUGAAGAGAAGGAGCAAUUCUGGAAAUAUUUUGAAGUGAGAAUUAGCUGUGCUUGGUCAACAACUGAAAGUGAGAAGCGUUGUGAAAGAGCAAAGCCUGGAGCUGGCUAGAAGAAAUUUUCCUUCCUAGGCUUGCAUAUCCUUAUAGGAAGGCAGAAAUCUGGCAACGGCAAAGACAGUGAACCCUAGUGCUUUGAUGUGUGACACUAUGAACAGUAACCGCUACUUCACAUUGGCCAAAUCAAAGUGCAUCCAGUGUUUUGUGUGUGUGAAGUCCUAAGACUGAAGACAAGCUAAAGUCCACAGCAGGAAAGGAAACUUUUGAAGUUCAUUAAUUAGCUUGUUUAAACUGUUAUUGCCAGAACUAAUUAUUUGUUUAAAUGAGAGGAACGGCCUUGGGUUUUAGUGCCUGUAAGUAAAUAAAAAGUUUUUGCAUUUCA
rnacentral:lncRNA from 1 species